rnacentral:lncRNA from 1 species
CGGGUGUGGUGGCACACGUUUGUAAUCCCAGUUACUCGGGAGGUUGAUACAGAAGAAUCACUUGAACCCGGGAGGCAGAGGUUGCACUGAGCCGAGAUCGCACCACUGCCCUCCAGCCUGGGUGACUAUAUAUAUGUGUGUGUGUGUGUGUGUGUAUAUAUACACACACACACACACACACACAUAUACACUCACACAACCAAGUACUAUUCAGCCAGGCUGGUCUUGAACUCCUGACCUCAAGUGAUUGGCCCACGUUGGCCUCCCAAACUGCUGGGAUUACAGGAGUGAGCCACCACACCCGGCCCUCUUUUCUUUAUGAAUUACCUAGUGUCAGGUAUUCCUUUAUAGCAAGGCAAGAACUAACACAAUCCCGUAGGACAAAAUAAAUAUCCAUAAAUCCAUAUGGACAUACAUAAAUAAUUCAGUAAAUAAGUGUAUGAGAAAAGACACUUCUUCCUUACAAAAUUCCAAUUAAUGUAGAAGGAAUGAGUAAAAUACAAAAUCCCCACUUGAACACCACAUUAGUAACCGUUGACAAGAUCCACCAAGGAAUGCGAAAAUCAGCAGCCAAAAGUUUGAGAAGAAACAGGAUGCUAUCAUAGUCUCAAAGCAUCUCUAAGAUGUUUAUCAUUUGCAAAGGGAGAAAAGAAACUUUACAAUAAAGAAACCGGGGAGAUGCCACCUUAACCAAAUGAUCGCAGUAAGUAUCACUAAUAAGCCACAUUGGCAUCCUGUACCCGAUAGGAAAUAACAAGAGCAUUUCACCUUGUGUUCUUCUUCCCUCCAACGGGUCAGUCUGUCAAGCAGUACCCUGUCACUGGUGGCUAAGAAGAUGAAGAUAACUACCCAUGGGAUUCCAUGAACAGAGCAGUCAUCUCUACUGACCUCAGCCACAAAACACCAGCCUUUCUAGCUUCCCUGGAUCCUUUGCUAACUGUGUUUUUUUCUGGGAUAGUAUGUGGUUCUCUAUUUGGCUUGAGAACAGAACACUCCUUCAAAUGGUUGAAGUAUCUUCAUUAUAUACAUGGUCUGCGCUUUAUCAUACUAAUUUUUUUUUCGAGGCAAGUUCUCACUCUGUCGUCCAGGCUGGAGUGCAGUGGCAUGAUCACAGAUCACUGCAGCCUUGAACUCAUGGGCUCAAGUGAUCCUCC